AAGAGCUUGAAAGCUGGCCUUAAGCAGUGUUCCAUAGUAUUGAGCUGACAUUUUGAAGUUGGCAAAACUGACCCUUUGAAGGUUAAAGCUCAAAACUAAUUAAUGCAACAUCAAUUUGAUCAGUUCUUUAUUAACUUAAUACAAACGUUCAUAUACAUUUUGCAACAAAGUUAAAAAAAAAAAAGUUUACAUGUGCAAUGACAAUAAAUUUGAAUCUAAUCUAAUCUAAUAAAUUAAUUUAAUAACACAUGCAGUGUCACUUGGUCUGGUCUUUUUAGAUGCUAAGAAAUCCAGUUAGCAUUUAACCAGAAGUGCAAUAAGCAGUAAGUACAGGAUAUACAGUGUCUACAAUAUGUUACAAAUGUACAAUAAAUAUACAGAUAAGCCAGUACUAUGGACAUAAUUCAGUUAGGAGACAGCUGUAGGGAAAAAAGCUGUUCCUGAGUCUGCUGGUCCUUGUCUGGAGGCUCCUGAAGCGGCUCCCGGAGGGCAGGAGGUUAAACAGUCUAUGGUCAGGGUGAGAGGAAUCCUUAAGAAUGCUGCGAGCUUGACGUAGACAGCGUUUUCUCUGGAUGUGCACAAUAGCAGGAAGUGUUGUCCCUGAGAUGCAUUGGGCAGUUUUCACCACCCUCUGCAGUGCCUUGCGGUCAGCAUACUAUACCAGACUGUGAUACAACUGGUCAGGAUGUUCUCGAUCGCACACCGGUAAAGGUUCACCAGGAUGGCUGAAGACAGCUGGUUCUUCUUUAGUGUCCUAAGGAAGAAGAGGUGCUGGUGAGCCUUCUUGACCAGGCUGGAGGUGUUUGUGGUCCAGGACAGGUCCUCCGAGAUGGUGGUUCCCAGGAACUUGAAGCUGGAGACACAUUCAACAACCAUCCCCUUAAUGUGGAGGGGGUCAUGCAUGCUUCCUUUCUUCUUAUUGAAGUCCACAAUGAACUCCUUUGUCCUACUGGUGUUAAGGAGCAGGUUGUUGUCAAUGCACCAUGUGGCCAGGUGCUGUACCUUUUCCCUGUAGGCAGUCUUAUCAUUGUCUCUGAUGAGGCCAAUCACUGUGGUGUCAUCUGCAAACUUGAUGGAUUUGGAUCCAUGCACAGACUUGCAGUCUUGGGUGUAGAGGGAGUAGAGGAAUGGGCUCAGCACACAGCCCUGUGGUAUGCCGGUGUUGAGUGUGAUGGUGGUGGAGCAGGUGUGGCCUGACCUAACAUGCUGAGGUCUGUUGGUCAGAAAGUCCAUAAUCCAGUUGCAGAGGGAGGUGUUAAUGUCCAGGUCUCCAAAUUUUGUGGUCAGCUUGGAGGGUAUGACAGUGUUAAAUGAUGAGCUGAAGUCAACAAACAACAUCCGUACCUAUGUGUUGUUAUUUUUGAUUGAAUUAAUAAUAAUGGAAUUUUACCAACAAUAUUGUCAAGGAAAAAACGAUCGUUUAUAUAUUAGCUGGAUAAUUUUAGAUUUAAGAAGCCGAUAAUUUUAGCUUUAAUAAACUACAUAAAACUGAACAUUAUCACAAAAUUAGGGAUAAAAAUAAACUCUACAGCUCUUUUUAAUUUACACAUUUUCUUCUCAGUCCAUUUCACAUGGUUUUUUGAGACUGCAGAUCAACGUGAGCUCUGGCUGGGAGUCUAUGGUCAGUCACUUUGAGGCAGUUUCCAGUUUCCAGUCUAAAUCUAAAAGUAAUCUAAAAUGAAUCUAAAGGUAAUCUAAAAAGUAGUCAGAAUACAUUUCCUAAAAUGAGUAACCUAGAUUAUGUUACUACAGUUUUCAUUGUGUAAUCUGAUAUCUACCCAGAGUAAUCUACCCAGCACAGCAUGACAACAAAACAAACUGCCACACAGGUUCACUCAGACCUCAGAGUAUUUCCUGUGAUCACUGACAUUAUACCCUUGAGGAAGAUUCUCAAGUACAGAUGAGCUUUGAUCACUUUGUCUUUGUGAGCAAAUGUGGAAAUGCAAGAAUACCGAGGUACCUGCACCACAUGUAGGACAUCACUAAAUCUCUCUGAUGAACCUGUUAAAGUUGUCAGUUCUAAUUCACGUCUACAUCUUCUUCCAAGACACUGUCUAAAAUCGCAAUUUUCUCUCUAAAACCAUAAUCUAUAGUCUUGCCUAAAGGUUGCAGGGUUCAUGUGAACUUCAUUAUUCUUCUACAAAAAUGUUUGUAGAUCCAACUGACAAAGGUCAUCUAUAGUCUCAAAGCAAAUAAAUAUCACAGUCUUUUAUUAAGAUAUCACUCAUCUGUGCGCACAUACACAACUCUCAGAGGAGACAGAGAGGCAUUUAAAGGGCAUGGACACCCCAGACAGCAAACAUUUCCUCAGACUACUACAGUCACAUAACCCACCAACCAAUACAGCUCUGAUCAAGCACCACAGUAGGACUGGACCCAUUUAUCUCUAUACAGCAUCGGAACAAUGCAGAAAACCUUAGGUUUGUGUUAUUAGAUUUUUGUGGGUUCUGUUUGCUGGUGAUGUGGAAGACAUUUAAGGAUAAUAAGAAUUCAUAAGCAUAAGCAUUAUGGCAACAUGUUAAAAUGGCAAGGUGUUAAAAUGUGAACACCGCCACCCCAAAAUAAAAAAAUUACAUUGUUAAGGCAAGAUUUCCAAAAUAUUUGCAUUGAUAAAUUAAUAAACUAAAGGAUUUGAAACAGCUGGACAAAAACACUAUAAAGAUGCUAAUUUAUUCAUCUUUGGUCAAAUGAAUGAUGCUGAAAGUUUCAUAUGAUCCUGUCUCUCCAGGAAGUGUUUAAAUAUGUGGGCAGGAAAUGUCUUCAUUGCGUUCAAUGUGUAUUUUUUUUUAAUAAAUUAACAUUUUCAGAGAAAAGGCAGACUAUUUCUUUUCUAACAACACUUAUGCUUUAAAAAUAAUGGUGUGGGGUUUAUUUUGUGAACGUAUUUAGAAAGUCAUGUCAUAUUUCUCAGGUAUUUUUAUUUUUUUUUAAUUUGUUACGGAAGGAAAAAUCACAGUCAUAAAUUUUUACAGAGAAAAAAAAAACUUUUUCUCAUAAAUAAUGUGGUGUAGUGCAAUUAAAUUUAGUGUUCAUUAAUUUUUGCACUUAUCUUCAACCCUGUAACCCUAAUUUUGAAGGUAACAAGGUUGACAAACCUAGCUUGUUAGUUAUUUUAUUAUUUAAUUGCAUUAUUUAUAUUAUACAUACAUACCAUUUUAAUAUAUGUUAAUGUUAUUUUAUAUAAAAUU
ensembl:lncRNA